GAUGAACGCUGGCGGCGUGCUUAACACAUGCAAGUCGAACGAAGCACUUAAUGAGAUUUCUUCGGAUUGAUUAUUUUGUGACUGAGUGGCGGACGGGUGAGUAACGCGUGGGUAACCUGCCCCAGACCGGGGGAUAACAGUCGGAAACGACUGCUAAUACCGCAUAAGCGCACAGUGCCGCAUGGCACGGUGUGAAAAACUCCGGUGGUCUGGGAUGGACCCGCGUCCGAUUAGUUAGUUGGCGGGGUAACGGCCCACCAAGACCGCGAUCGGUAGCCGACCUGAGAGGGUGACCGGCCACAUUGGGACUGAGACACGGCCCAGACUCCUACGGGAGGCAGCAGUGGGGAAUAUUGCACAAUGGGGGGAACCCUGAUGCAGCGACGCCGCGUGGAGGAAGAAGGUCUUCGGAUUGUAAACUCCUGUUGUUGAGGAAGAUAAUGACGGUACUCAACAAGGAAGUGACGGCUAACUACGUGCCAGCAGCUGCGGU
rnacentral:rRNA from 1 species